rnacentral:rRNA from 1 species
UACGUAGGUGGCAAGCGUUGUCCGGAAUUAUUGGGCGUAAAGCGCGCGCAGGUGGUUCCUUAAGUCUGAUGUGAAAGCCCCCGGCUCAACCGGGGAGGGUCAUUGGAAACUGGGGAACUUGAGUGCAGAAGAGGAUAGUGGAAUUCCAAGUGUAGCGGUGAAAUGCGUAGAGAUAUGGAGGAACACCAGUGGCGAAGGCGACUUUCUGGUCUGUAACUGACACUGAGGCGCGAAAGCGUGGGGAGCAAACAGG